UUCAACCAUUGCUGAUACAAUGGCAUAGUUCGGCAGAUUAACCAUGAAGAAUAAUCUAAAUCGACUUUCGCUCCUAGCUGAUGUAUCAG